UUAAUUAAACUUCGAGCACAGUCUUUUAAUCAUAUCAAUUCACCUAAUGAUCUAUCAUCAAGCCUACAUUGUCUUAUCUAUUCCAAAAAAUACAGUGAGUUGCUUUGUCUUGCCUAAAUUCUGAUGCAUAGGGCCCUGCCUGUAGGAUUUUACUGAGAUCACCAGAGCAACAGAACAGGGUACUUAGCCUACUUCAGCUCACUACUUUCAUUGUUAAUUACACAAAAGUCCUUUGUUACAAUCUGUUAUAGAAUUUUGUCUGGCAUCAACCCUGAUCCCCAUUUUAGCAACUAUCUUCCUUAUAAUUAAAACAACGACAACAACAAAAAUGAGGCUACUAUGUUCUGAAAUUUAUUUAAUUCCAGUGGAACUUCAGAUUUAUGCAUUUAUUUACUUGUUUGCUUGUUUGUUUAGUUGACAAUGUUUUUACCUGCAAACUUACCUUUUUUUAUUUUUUAUUUUUUAUUUUUUUGAGACAGAGUCUUGCUCUGUCACCCAGGCUGGAGUGCAGUGGUGCAAUCUCGGCUCACUGCAAGAUCCGACUCCCAGGUUCACACCAUUCUCCUGCCUCAGCCUCCCAAGUAGCUGCGACUACAGGCGCCCACCACCACGCCCAGCUAAUUUUUUUGUAUUUUUAGUAGAGACGGGGUUUCACUGUGUUAGCCAGGAUGGUCUCGAUCUCCUGACCUCAUGAUCUGCCCGCCUCAGCCUCCCAAAGUGCUGGGAUUACAGGAGUGAGCCACCAUGCCCGGCCUGAAACUUAUCUUCUUUUAAAUGACUUGACUGACUUUGCAAUUUCCUUAUCCAUUUCGAAUUUUGUAAAAUUAUUUUUUAUUAUUGACUGGCUAUCUUCUGAAGUCUGGAGAUUGUUCUUCUAGACCAAACUAGAAAAGGUAAAAAAGUAAGAGUUAACUUUGGGGCUGAGAUUGAAAUAUGCUUCUAACACUUACAGGCAGCAAGACAUUUGCAAGUUAAACAAGAUCUAAGUGCUUCUGUUCUGUUCCCUUGUUGUAAAACGGGGAAAAUAAUAGCACUUUACCCACAGAACUGUGGUAAAAUUUAAAUUUGAUUCUUGUAAAGCACUCAAAAUAAUGCCUCGAAUAUAGUAAACAUUCAAAACUAUUAGAUAAUUUUUUUAGUAACAACAUUAGAUACUAAACUCAUGUUGUUUCUCUAAACAACUUAAAAUCAAUUUUAUUGGUAUUAUCAUUUUUAUACAAGUUAGCUCAUUUGAAAUUAUAAAUCAGUCAGUAAGAUCAUAUACAUCUGGGCCACUGGUAUAUAUUUAAGUUUUAUCAUGCAUAAAAUUCUCAACUUCUUCUACAGUUUCUGGUGCAAUAAGGCAUUUUAGGUCUCUGGUUGCAAGACAGACACUGACCUUUGUGGUGAAGAACCUAGGUUCCAUGUGAGACUGAUGGGCUCUACCACCUGCUAGAGGCUUGCUCUUAGACAAGUGCAUUACUAUUCAGAUGGAAUUAUGGGCAGUUCCCUCUUUGGGUUGUGGCACUUGAAGCCUUUUUAAUCCCAAAUGUUUUAUUACAUUUACAGACUCAGGGGCAAAAGGUAAGAAUUCCAUUUAUUCUCCUUUAGAUCUUUCAUUGUUUUUUUGAGGACAAGGAAGAAAAUCUUCACAUCCCUGAGCUCUAGAUAUUGAUGUGGUUUAUGUGUCUGUGUAGUCUAAUGCUUGCUGGUCUAUUUGGAGGCUGCUCUCCACGUUCUCACUUUUCCCUGCAGGAAAGUGUUAGAUCAGUUAUCUCCACUAGGACUCCAACAGGGUUCAAGGUCUGGUUGCAAACAUCUUCUCUCUAGCCCAGGCUAUAGCUAAGACUUAAGGGCAAGGUGGCCAUAUUCUAGUUGCUACAAUGCAAGAGAAUCUAUUUGUGCAGAACAGAACAUACUCAUAAGGCACAAAGAAACCUAUUACAUUAUAGUCAUCAGAUAUAGUAGAAUGAGACUUUUAUAAAUAUUUAUUUCUGCAAAUCCUACAGAAGUAAGUUUUUAAAAGC
rnacentral:lncRNA from 10 species